CAACACAAACAGCCCUCCAACAUCCAGUGAAUACAGGAUCAGCAGAGUUUCAGUGUCCCACAGUGGAGACUACAGAUGUCGGGGUAGCAGUGACUAUCUCUUAACAGGAUGGAGUGAUGCCUUCAGACUGACAGUUUCAUCAAGUAAACCCAGAGCCACACUGACAGCACACAGUUCAAUCAUACCAGCAGGGGGCAGUGUGACACUGAGCUGCUCUGUGGAGGGCUCUGCUGGCUGGAAGUUUGACUGGUUCAGACGUGAUUCACAGUUUUCUGGAGCUCAGAAAAUAGGAGCUGGAACAUCA